AGCCUCAUUCUGGAUUAGACUGAGCACUGUUGAUUCAUGUCCAGAAUUGGUCAGUGGGGCUAAAAUUGCAAUAUAGGUCAUGCUUCCAUCACAGUAAAUAUUUACAGUGGUGACAAGGAGGCCUGUAACAUUU
ensembl:snoRNA